CGGCAGGUUCGCUAAUCCCCUGGGGGUUAGUCAGAGUUGUGGGGUCUUUGCGCAGUCUCUUGCUCCAAGGCUCAAGGCUACAGUGGCGUGGAGGGGCUUCUAGCCACUUCCCUGCUUGAGUUUCAAGGAAACUUUUGUUCUUGGGAUUCAAGGUCACCUUUGCAAGCGAGCUGCAAAGUCCUAUUUGAACUCUGGUCCAAGGCCACUUGCAGGCACAGGGUCCAAGUCUACUCCUCGUGUUCAGAGUUCAAGGACACUUUUCUGCGUGGAAUUCGGGACUCAGAAAGACUGUAGUCGGAGGUCGCGAGUUGGUGACCUCAGGUUAAGAUUAACCAGCCAAGCUCUUGGUGGCUCUCAGGGAGUCCGUGCAGGGUGGCAUUUGUUUCUUAAAGCCACAGAACUUAAUUGCCUCAGCUCCACCUGUGGACGAAGGCGGGGCGAGCUGCUUGGAAGUCCAGAGUUCAUAGACAGAGCUUGUGGGUUCUGGCAGGCAAGAUGUACGAGGAGAAACUGAUCCUGAAACCCCCUAAAGGGGAGGAAAUACUGAAAGCCAAGCCCUUCUCCAGGAAACGGAGCUCUGGACUUUUUGUCUCCGGACCUUUGCCAUCAGGAUGCUGUACAUGUGUAGAAGCAGGGACCGUCCCGUCAAGCUGGAACUCCUCAGCACCCAAACAUGGAUGACCGUCCAGAUGGAUCUCCUCAGCACUGCUCUUGUGAUUCUUUCUUGAAAAUUGUGUCUGGAUGAGAAGUGCAAGAAGCUGCGGGAAGGCCGAUGAGCUGGGUUGGUGCUGUGACUCCUCCACGGCUUCCCUGCACAGCAGUCACCAGUCAGUCGGCUAGCUUCAACACACACUGGAACGGAGCAGUCAAGACCUAGGGAGAGGAUGUCUUGAGAGCAGUUGCCAGGAGUGAGCCACCCAUGCAGAAAUCGAAGAGGAUUCACAUAGCUUAUCUAAGUUUCCUUGCUCCUUACAGUAAGCACUCAUGUCAGUUUCCUAAAAGAGCCGAGGCUUCAUCAAAAAGAGAGAAGAGUGUCAGCGAAGGCUGAAGAGGCGGCUGGGUGGGUCAGGCGAUCGGCAAGAGGUCCUGAGUCGGAAUCUCCAAACCCACACAGAAGCCGGGCAUAGCUGACUUACCUGGAACACCAGUGCUAGUUCAAACAGAAACGUUUAGGUUCGUGAAGACACCUGUCUUAAGGCAAUAAAAUGAAGAACAAUAGAAGAAGAUGUGUGAUUGUUCUCCUCUGGCCUACACACACACACACACACACACACACACACACACAAACAUGGUGGGGGGGCAGGGGAGGAGACAAACAGACAGAGAAAACCUGUGCCCCAAAUGUAUCCCCUAGUAGUGUCCAAUCACCGCUGCAGUUCCCGUUGGAUAAUGAUGGCUUAAUUGCCACAUCGUUUCCCUCAGAAUACGAUCAUAAAAAGGUCAUCAUAAAUUAAUAUACAUUAUAGUUACAGUUUGAUAAAGUAAUCCCUCAUACCCAUUGAUACUCCAAGUCAGGAUUUACUCAAACCUUUAGUGUCUGCCUAAGAUGGACAAGGCACGUGCUCAUUAACACACACCCACUUUUGUACUAAUGAGACUUUGAAUAAAUUAAGUGGAAAGCAACUUGUUAUCUAUUGUACACUCAUAUUUCCUAUUAAUGUGUCCUGUUAGAUAUAGAGCCAUUGUUAACAUCUCCUAAAAUCGCAAACAUUUCUUUCUUGGGUUGUGCCCUUAGAUAAACAAUAUUUAAUCUCACCUUAUUCAUCUGUGAACACUCCCCCUCCCCAUAAUAGAAGCAGCAAGAAGCAUUCACUUCCUUGGCCUGAAAUACACCCCCAAUUUAUUCUUAACAGAAUAACUAUAAAAUAAUAAAUAACAGAAAUAAAUAAAUACAAAUUACAGGCUAAAUGCAUCACAGACCAAGUUUAAGAAUACUUCUGCAAUUUCCAUCCUAAAGCCAUUAAAUCAUUUAACACAGCACAGAACUCAUGACAGAACACACUAUAUACACAAGGGACUGGGUAACUCUGAAGCACUGGUUCUAUGGCAGUAGCUCCAUCUAAUUGCUAAUGGCACAGGGUCUGGCAUUAGAAGCAGAUUGAUGUUCACCCUCAGGAGGUGUGUGACCUUGACCGGCUGUGAAAGGUUAACAAUGAUACAAUAUCGACAUCUAUUCCCUCUAGGCUGCAAUUAGGAUUAAGUGGAAUAAUGAGGGUAGCUGCUUCCCAGUGGCUGGGCAUCCGAGAACUAGCCGCUUCCCAGUGGCUGGGCAUCCGAGAACUAGCUGCUCCCCAGUGGCUGGGCAUCUGAGAACUAACCGCUUCCCAGUGGCUGGGCAUCUGAGAACUAGCCGCUUCCCAGUGGCUGGGCAUCUGAGAACUGUCAAUAAUAGUUCUCAUUGAUAAUGAGGAAGAUGGGGAAGUGAAGCAAAUGACUUUGUAGGUGACAAUGGUGAUUUAUGUGAAAGUCCUUUAUAAUAAGGUUUUAAUAAGUGUGACAACAGAAAGAAGCAUAUUAAAGUCUCUUUAGGAGAUAGAGGGGGGAAAAUGUUCCUCCUGUUAUUUUGGCACCCUUAGCCCUCAUGUAGUAUAGUGCUACCUACCCAAGCAGGCUUGAACAGCCCAUCUCACCUCUCCUGGCUUCUGUCAUAGUUCUGUUCACUGAAUAGGUAAGAUAUAAGAUGUCAAUUCCAAGCCUUUAUCUCCUCUUUGUAUUGAAAGUGGGCUUCUAUUUAGGAAGAGAACCUACAGGAGAUGCCUUAAGAAUUGACAAUCUGUGGACCGGGUCAG